rnacentral:rRNA from 1 species
UGCGUAGGUGGCGCGGUAAGUCGGGUGUGAAAUUUCGGAGCUUAACUCCGAAACUGCAUUCGAUACUGCCGGGCUUGAGGACUGGAGAGGAGACUGGAAUUUACGGUGUAGCAGUGAAAUGCGUAGAGAUCGUAAGGAAGACCAGUGGCGAAGGCGGGUCUCUGGACAGUUCCUGACACUGAGGCACGAAGGCCAGGGGAGCAAACG